UUGCAGAUUCAUAACCAUCAUCUGCUUAAGAUUCAGUACUGUCAGAUUCAGUCAAUAACUCUUCCUCCUCAGUAUCAAUGUCAUCUGACACAAGUAUUGACUCAGGAUCUAAUUCAUGUGGUUCAUCUCCACCAUCUAACUGGAUUACUUCAUUGUCGUCCUCCACAUUUAUUAUAGUUUGACUAUGAAGCAUCUGCUCUUGGUAAAUCUCCCCAUCAACUACUUCUACACGACUACGCGCGGGAGUAUGAAUUACAACUUGCCAAUCUGUAGGCGGUCUAUCCCUUUUCCUAACAGGACUAGGAGUGUAGUAUACUUGUACUGU
rnacentral:lncRNA from 1 species